rnacentral:rRNA from 1 species
UACGAAGGGUGCAAGCGUUACUCGGAAUUACUGGGCGUAAAGGGUGCGUAGGCGGUUCGUUAAGUCUGUCGUGAAAUCCCCGGGCUCAACCUGGGAAUGGCGAUGGAUACUGGCGAGCUAGAGUGUGUCAGAGGAUGGUGGAAUUCCCGGUGUAGCGGUGAAAUGCGUAGAGAUCGGGAGGAACAUCAGUGGCGAAGGCGGCCAUCUGGGACAACACUGACGCUGAAGCACGAAAGCGUGGAGAGCAAACAGG